UACGUAGGGUGCAGGCGUUGUCCGGAAUUAUUGGGCGUAAAGAGCUCGUAGGCGGUUUGUCGCGUCUGCUGUGAAAUCCCGAGGCUCAACCUCGGGUCUGCAGUGGGUACGGGCAGACUAGAGUGUGGUAGGGGAGAGUGGAAUUCCUGGUGUAGCGGUGGAAUGCGCAGAUAUCAGGAGGAACACCAAUGGCGAAGGCAGAUCUCUGGGCCGUAACUGACGCUGAGGAGCGAAAGCAUGGGGAGCGAACAGG
rnacentral:rRNA from 1 species